CCCUUAGAUGUUCUGGGCCGCACGCGCGCUACACUGACGCAUUCAACGAGUCUCCUUGGCCGAGAGGCCUGGGUAAUCUUGUGAACGUGCGUCGUGAUGGGGAUAGAUUAUUGCAAUUAUUAAUCUUCAACGAGGAAUGCCUAGUAAGCGCAAGUCAUCAGCUUGCGUUGAUUACGUCCCUGACCUUUGUACACACCGCCCGUCGCUCCUACCGAUUGAAUGGUCCGGUGAAGCGUUCGGACCGUGGCCUUUGGACGGUUCGCCGUCUGUUGGCUGCGGGAAGUUCGUUAAACCUUAUCAUUUAGAGGAAGGAGAAGUCGUAACA
rnacentral:rRNA from 1 species